GUGCUAAGGUAGCAUAAUAAUUUGUCUUUUAAUUAAAGACUAGAACAAAAGAUUAAACAUUUUAAUUAAUUUAUUAAUUAUUUUUAUUAAAAUUAUCUUUAAUGUUAAAAGACAUUAAUAAUAAAGAAAGACGAUAAGACCCUAUUGAACUUUACUAAAGUUUAACUGGGGUAGUUAAUUAAUUAAUAUUUUAAUUUAAAUAAUUAUUAAAUUAUCAUUAUUAUAAUAAUAAUAAUAAGUUACCAUAGGGAUAACAGCGCAAUUUUUUUUUAAAGAUCUUAUUUAAAAAUAAGAUUACGACCUCGAUGUUGAAUUAAUUAAUCUAUUAAAUGCAAUAAUUUAAAGAGAAAGUCUGUUCGACUUUUAAAUAAUUACAUGAUUUGAGUUCAAACCGGUGUAAGCCAGGUUGGUUUCUAUCUUCUAAAAAUUUUUUCACAGUACGAAAGGACCAGAAGAAUUAAUUUUAUUAAUAAUUUGGCAGAUAAAUGCAUUAGAAUUAGAAUCUAAUUAAAUAUUA
rnacentral:rRNA from 1 species